ACUGUCUAAGCUGGAGACUGUUUUCCAGUCUACUCACUACGUCAAAGCAAAAGCAAGAAAACAACUGGCAGCAUCCAUCGGUGUGAGUGAAACCAAAGUGCAGAAUUGGUUUAAGAGGAAGAGAGAAAAAUACAGGAAAUAUCAAAAGGCAUAAAUAAAG